GCCGGGCAUGGUGGCGUGUGCCUGUAGUCCCAGCUACUCAGGAGGCUGAGGCAGAAGAAUUGCUUGAACCCGGAAGGCAGAGGUUGCAGUGAGCUGAGGUCGUGCCACUGCACUCUAGUCUGGGUGACAGAGCGAGAGUCUGUCUCAA
rnacentral:sRNA from 1 species